rnacentral:snRNA from 1 species
GCUGUUUUGGCAGCACUUACUAAAAUUAGAAUCAAGAGAGAUUAGCACAGCUCCUGCACAAAGAUGAAACACAAAUUCAUGAAGUAUUCGAUAUUUUU